GAUGAAGAACGUAGCGAAAUGCGAUAAGUAAUGUGAAUUGCAGAAUUCAGUGAAUCAUCGAAUCUUUGAACGCACAUUGCGCCCGCCAGUAUUCUGGCGGACAUGCCUGUCUGAGCGUCAUUUCAACCCUCAUGCCCCUAGGGCGUGGUGUUGGGGAUCGGCCAAAGCCCGCGAGGGACGGCCGGCCCCUAAAUCUAGUGGCGGACCCGUCGUGGCCUCCUCUGCGAAGUAGUGAUAUUCCGCAUCGGAGAGCGAUGAGCCCCUGCCGUUAAACCCCCAACUUUCCAAGGUUGACCUCAGAUCAGGAAGGAAUACCCGCUGAACUUAAGCAUAUCAAUAAGCGGAGGA
rnacentral:misc_RNA from 1 species